AUUUCUUUUUUUGCAUGCCGAAUCAAUGUGCACGCAACUUCGGAGCUACGAUCUUUUUUCUGAAUGAACAGCUUCAUCAACACUUGUAACUAGGUUGUCAAACUAAUAUCCGGGAUAGACGGAAAAGACACCAACAGUCUCCGAUCUGAUUGACCAAAUCAUCUCUCUCUCUUCUGAUUUUUUUUGUUGUGAAAACGACGUGGAUGCACGUGCUGUCGUGCCUCCGGGUAGCUACGCCCCUG
rnacentral:lncRNA from 1 species